rnacentral:rRNA from 1 species
GUCCUAUUGUAUUACUUAAUAGGUCUGGCCUGCCCAGUGAUAAUUUUAACGGCCGCGGUAUAUUGACCGUGCAAAGGUAGCAUAAUCAUUAGUCUUUUAAUAGAAGGCUGGAAUGAAAGGUUUAACGAGAAAUUAACUGUCUCAAUUACAAACUUGAAUUUAUCUUUUGAGUCAAAAGACUCAAAUAUUAUUGGUGGACGAGAAGACCCUAUAGAGCUUAACAGUUUUAUUUUUAUAAUUAUUUAGUAAUAUGAUUUACUUAUACUUGUAAAAUUGUUUUGUUGGGGUGACAAUAAAUAUAUAUUUAACUUUUAUUAUAAUAUAAACAUUAAUUUAUGAUUUUUGGAUCCAGAAAUUUUGAUCAAUAGAUUAAGUUACC